rnacentral:rRNA from 1 species
GCUUAACACAUGCAAGUCGAGCGAGAAUCGUUUAUUGAAGGCUUCGGCUGGAAAUAGAUGAGGAAAGCGGCGAACGGGUGAGUAACGCGUGGGCAACCUGGCCUUAAGAAAAGGAUAGCCCCCGGAAACGGGGAGUAAUACUUUAUGAGAAUGAAAGAGGGCAUCCUACUUUCAUUCAAAGCGCAAGCGCUUAAGGAUGGGCCCGCGUAUCAUUAGCUAGUUGGUGAGAUAACAGCCCACCAAGGCAACGAUGAUUAGCCGGUCUGAGAGGGAGAACGGCCACAUGGGAACGAGGAGACGGUCCAAACUCCUACGGGAGGCAGCAGUGGGGAAUAUUGCGCAAUGGAGAAGAACUCUGACGCAGCAAUACCGCGUGAGCGAAGAAGGUCUUCGGAUCGUAAAGCUCUGUUAUCAGGGAAGAAGAAAAUGACGGUACCUGAUGAGCAAGUCCCGGCUAACUACGUGCCAGCCGCCGCAGUAACAC